GACGAACGCUAGCGGCGUGCCUAAUGUAUGCAAGUCGAGCGGGGUAAGAGACUUGUCUCUUAUUCAGCGGCAAACGGUUGAGUAACACGUAGGCAACCUGCCCCAGAGACGGGGAUAGCCCGCCGAAAGGCGGAUUAAUACCGGAUGUGGCCGGAGGGGACAUCCCCUCUGUGCUAAAGGGAGCAAUCCGCUCUGGGAUGGGCCUGCGGCCUAUCAGCUAGUUGGUGAGGUAACGGCUCACCAAGGCGACGACGGGUAGCUGGUCUGAGAGGAUGGUCAGCCAGACAGGGACUGAGACACGGCCCUGACUCCUUUGGGGGCAGCAAUGAGGGAUAUUGCACAAUGGGCGAAAGCCUGAUGCAGCGACGCCGCGUGGGUGACGAAGUCCU
rnacentral:rRNA from 1 species